rnacentral:rRNA from 1 species
UACGGAGGGUGCGAGCGUUGUCCGGAAUCACUGGGCGUAAAGGGCGCGUAGGCGGCCAACUAAGUCAGACGUGAAAUCCCCCGGCUUAACCAGGGAACUGCGUCUGAUACUGGAUGGCUUGAGUUUGGGAGAGGGAUGCGGAAUUCCAGGUGUAGCGGUGAAAUGCGUAGAUAUCUGGAGGAACACCGGUGGCGAAGGCGACAUCCUGGACCAAUACUGACGCUGAGUGAGCGAAAGCCAGGGGAGCAAACGGG